rnacentral:rRNA from 1 species
CCUACGGGGGGCAGCAGUGAGGAAUAUUGGUCAAUGGACGAGAGUCUGAACCAGCCAAGUAGCGUGAAGGAUGACUGCCCUAUGGGUUGUAAACUUCUUUUAUAUGGGAAUAAAACGUUCCACGUGUGGGAUUUUGUAUGUACCAUAUGAAUAAGGAUCGGCUAACUCCGUGCCAGCAGCCGCGGUAAUACGGAGGAUCCGAGCGUUAUCCGGAUUUAUUGGGUUUAAAGGGAGCGUAGGUGGAUUGUUAAGUCAGUUGUGAAAGUUUGCGGCUCAACCGUAAAAUUGCAGUUGAAACUGGCAGUCUUGAGUACAGUAGAGGUGGGCGGAAUUCGUGGUGUAGCGGUGAAAUGCUUAGAUAUCACGAAGAACUCCGAUUGCGAAGGCAGUUCACUGGACUGCAACUGACACUGAGGCUCGAAAGUGUGGGUAUCAAACAGGAUUAGAGACCCGUGUAGUC